AUGGCGCCCGGCGAGGCGACGGACGUCGGCAUGCGCCGGCCCGGGUGCUGCGGCGGCGGCGUCUUCCCGGAGGAGUCGUUCGCGAGCUGGGGCACGUACGGGCGCGCGCUGCUGGAGACGGGGCCGCGGCUCAGGGACCGGCUCACGGCGCGCUCCGCCGUCGACGUCGAGGUGCACGCCGUGCGCGGCCGCAGCGGCGCCGACAUGCGCCGGGAGCUCAACUGGUGGGACCUCGCGUGGUUCGGCGUCGGCGCCGUCAUCGGGGCCGGCAUCUUCGUGCUCACGGGACAGGAGGCCAAGGAGGCCGCCGGGCCCGCCGUCGUGCUCUCCUACGCCGUCUCCGGCAUCUCGGCCAUGCUCUCCGUGUUCUGCUACACCGAGUUCGCCAUCGAGAUCCCAGUCGCUGGCGGUUCGUUCGCGUACCUGCGGGUGGAGCUGGGCGACUUCAUGGCCUUCAUCGCCGCCGGCAACAUCCUGCUCGAGUACUGCAUCGGCGGCGCGGCGGUGGCGCGCUCGUGGACGUCCUACUUCGCCACGCUGCUCAACCACCACCCCAACGACUUCCGCAUCCACGCCACCUCGCUCGCCGAAGACUACAACCGCCUCGACCCCAUCGCCGUCGUCGUCAUCACGCUCAUCUGCCUCUUCGCCGUGCUCAGCACCAAGGGCUCCUCCCGCUUCAACUACAUCCUCUCCAUCGUCCACUUCGCCGUCAUCAUCUUCAUCAUCGGCGCCGGCCUCUCCAAGGCCAAGCUCUCCAACUUCACCGCCGACUUCGCGCCCUACGGCGCCCGCGGCAUCUUCGCCGCGUCGGCGGUGCUCUUCUUCGCCUACAUCGGCUUCGACGCCGUCAGCACCAUGGCCGAGGAGACCAAGAACCCGGCCAAGGACAUCCCCGUGGGGCUCGUCGGCGCGAUGGCGCUCACCACCGUCGUCUACUGCGUGCUCGCCGUCACGCUCUGCCUCAUGCAGCCGUACCGGGACAUCGACCCCGACGCGCCCUUCUCCGUCGCCUUCAGCGCCGUCGGCAUGGACUGGGCCAAGUAUAUCGUGGCCUUCGGCGCGCUCAAGGGGAUGACCACCGUGCUGCUCGUGAGCGCCGUGGGCCAGGCCAGGUACCUCACCCACAUCGCGCGGACGCACAUGGCGCCGCCGUGCCUCGCCGUCGUGUCGCCGCGCUGGGGAACGCCGGUGCGCGCCACGGUCACAAUGCUCACCGCCACGGCCAUCAUCGCGUUCUUCACCGACCUCGGCAUCCUCUCCAACCUCCUCUCCAUCUCCACGCUCUUCAUUUUCAUGCUCGUCGCCGUCGCGCUGCUGGUCCACCGCUACUACGCCUCCGGCGAAACCACCACCGCCAACCGUAACAAGCUCGUCUCGUGCAUCGCCGUGAUCCUCGCCGCCUCCGUCGGCACAGCGGUGUACUGGGGCCUGGCGGUGGACGGCGGGUGGGCGGCAUACGUGGUGACCGUGCCGGCGUGGUUCGCCGCGACGCUUUACCUGCACCUCGGGGUGCCAAAGGCGAGGGUGCCAAAGAUGUGGGGGGUGCCGCUGGUGCCGUGGCUGCCGUCGGCAUCCAUCUUCAUCAACAUCUUCCUGCUCGGAUCCAUCGACGCAAAGUCUUUCAUGAGGUUCGCGAUAUGGACGGUGGCGUUGCUCGUGUACUACUUCUUCGUCGGCCUCCACGCCUCCUAUGACACUGCCAAGGUGCUCGCGGCCGAGGCGGCCGCCGCCAGGGUGGAAGAAGGCGGCCACAAGGCCGUGGAAAUUGCCGGAGCUAGCAAUUAA
rnacentral:rRNA from 1 species